GGAAGACUUCAUCUUCCACUCGGAUAUGAGCUUCUACUGCGGAUUAUCUGCAUAUUAUCCACGUGGAGGCAACAUUCAAACAGAAGGGGUGAAAUAUCAUAAUUAUAUAAAGGAAAACAUGAUAAUAAGUAAGCAUCAGAUUAUCACAUGCAUAUCACCCAUUCCACAACACAAUUCCACAUAACAACUAUCCACACAUAAUAACAACC
rnacentral:lncRNA from 1 species